rnacentral:rRNA from 1 species
CUAGUUCGGAUUGUAGGCUGAAACUACGCCUACAUGAAGCUGGAAUUGCUAGUAAUCACAGGUCCGCAUACUGUGGUGAAUACGUUCCCGGGCCUUGUACACACCGCCCGUCACACCAUGAGAGUUGAGAAUACCCGAAGUCCAUGUCAAAGUGGCCGAAAGGUAGGCUUGAUGAUUGGGGUGAAGUCGUAACAAGGUAAC